GACCCAAAAUCUUUCUCUCUCUCCCAAAAAAUCCCCAAUCCCUCCUCCAUCUCCAAUCGGAGCUCCCCCUCCAUCUCCAAUCUGCCAUCUCCAACGCCGACGAUCUCCCAAAUAACCCAUCUCCAACCGGAGCUCCCCAGAUCCGCCUCACCACCACGAACCCCACGACUACAAAAUUUGAGACCGCCUCCUCCACCACGACUACGAAGUCUGAGACCGCCGACUUCCCCAACUCAUCCGACGCCGACGACGAUUAAGUCCAACUCCGCCAACCGUGACCGACUAUCCCCAACUCCCUCGAGCUCGAUCUCGAGAUCCCCCAACUCAGCCGUUAAUCAUGGAGUCAUCUUCAAGCAAUCGUCAUGGACUGUUGUGCCAUUAUGGAAGGAGGGCUAUACUCUCUAGAUCUGGACGAGUCGAACCCUGGUCGAUUGUUUUUGGGAUGCGCUAAUUGGAAAGUGAGUAAUUGCGGAUUCUUCAAAUGGGUAUCUGAUGAAGAGGAGUUUGAAGGUUCAAAGACAGGGCUUGUUCAGACAAAGCUGUCGAGCAUGAGGCCGCAAGUUUCAAGAGCCGUGUCAAGUGGAGAAUUGCGGGAAAAGAGAAAGAUUGAGAUUGAUAUUAUGGAUUUGUUGAAGCUUGUUGUAUUUGCUCUUUUAUUCGGUAUUUUUCUUGGAUUUGUAUUUGGUAUAUUUAUUGGAUUUGUGCUAAGUAGAGUGAAUGAAUCUAUUAUCCUUCUUUGUGGAAGUGUAUGUUGAUGAGAA